UGUCAAAGUGACUCCAAUAGAUGAAUAGAGCCAGCCACUGGAUUCCUGGAGGAAAGGCUGCGGAACGUCAGGAAGCGGCUGAGAUCAACCAGCAGGUCGCAGAGCACGGCACAGACACCACCACAAACGCCAGAUGAUGGCGCUCUUGCAAGGGCUCUCAUACCAGAAUGUACCAUAUCAGACGAACGUGAGUCACAGCUUAAAGAAUGGUUGAGAAACAAUUCUCAGCCCCUCAGCCAGAUAGAGACCUACAUGCGGAACACGACAGUCUACAGGGCCAAGUGGAUUAGGGACAACAAUUGGACCAUCGAUCAGAUCCUCGAAGAGUUCCCUCACCUAAUGACCAAAGGCAUGAUUGCACAGGCUUGUCCUGCAUGGGGAUGCUGCAUCAAAGUUGUUUGAAACUUGGUCAUAUGAAAUGCCAGGAGGGGAGUCUAAAAUGGUAAAGUUUAUUCAAAGUAGAAUACUUGCUUGCAAGUAGAGCUAAUGGCUCUUAAUAGCAGCUUUUUAAUAGGAAUUUGAAUUUGUUCACUAUAGACCUGUUGACUGUUGGCCUGUUGAAUGUUCAGCCAGUUCAUUCGUAAUUGUUGUUUUGCUCUGAAUGUUUUCCUACCUGAGUGAUAUGAACUGCACCAG